GCCCCCAGGUGUGUCCCAGGUGUCCCAGGUGUCCCCAGGUGUCCCCAGGUGUGUCCCCUCAGUGUCCCCCGAACAGGUCCUCGUUGUAGACCACCUGUGACCGUUUGUCCCGGUGGGAGCCUUUGGCGCUGUUCUUCACCGC